rnacentral:tRNA from 1 species
GUGGCUCAGUGAUAGAGCGCUUACCUGGAAUGUAUGGGGCACUGGGUUCGAUCCUCAGC